GCGGGUGCCUAUAAUGCAGUCGAACGCACUCUCGUUUAGUUGAAACGAUCUUGCUCCUGAUUGAUAAACAUUUGAAUGAGUGCCGGACGGGUGAGUAACACUGGGGUAACCUGCCCUAAAGUGGGGGAUAACAUUUGGAAACUUAUGGUAAUACCGCAUAAAACCUAACACCGCUUGGUGUACGGUUGAAAAAUGGUUUCCGCUAUCACUUUAAGAUGGACCCGCGGUGGAUUACUUAGUUGGUGAGGCAAAGGCUCACCAAGACCGUGAUGCAUCACCGACCUGAUAGGGUAAUCGCCCACCCUGGGACUGAGACUGCGCCCAGACUCCUACCGCAGGCAGCCAAAGGGAAUCUUCCCCAAUGGACGAAAGUCUAAUGGACCACCGCCCCGGGAGUGACUAAGGUUUUCGGAUCGCAAAACUCUGUUGAUGUAGUUUAAUGUAUCUGAUACCCAAUGAUCAGGUGGUGGCGGUAUCCGACCCAAAAGCCGCGGCUCUCUGCCUGCCAGCAGCCGCGUCUUGUUUUAUGUGGCAAAUAUUGUCCGGAUUUGUUGUGUUUACAGCGAUCUCACGCGCCUUCGCUCAACUGAUGCUUCGCCUUUCGGCUCGGCUUAAGUAGUGCGUCGCAAAGCUGCGAAACUUGCCAGCAGAACAAGACGCAUGGAACUCCUUGUG
rnacentral:rRNA from 1 species